UACGGCCCCUCUGCAGGCCCGGGGGUGUGUCAGGCUGUGGGGAGUGACGUCCCGAGCCACGUGGGUGCUGCGUGGCUCGUAGUCCCUGUCAAGCACCGGUGACCCGCGGGGUGGGCAGCGGCCGGGCUUGCAGGUUUCCGUUCCUUCCCUUAAGACGCCAUUUGGGGGGCAGUGGGCGAGGUCCCCGGCCUCGGCCGCAGCUUUCCCUUAAGGCUGUCAUUCGGGGGGCGGAGGCUCAGGUCCGUAGCCAGCCCCGCUGCCCCCUUGAGGCAUCAUUUGGGGGAGCGGUGGGCAGGGGCGGUUUGUCUCUGCCCGCGGUCCUCCCUUAAGACGUCACUGGGGUCCGCAGUGGGGAGGGCCGGAGGGCCCCCAGAGUCCUCCCUGAUGGUGUCAUUUGCGGGGGGCAGCGGCCAGGUCCGUAGGCCCCCGCUGUUCUCCCUUAAGAUACCAUUCAGGUUGGCUGUGGGUCUGGUCUGAACCCCUGUAGUUCUCACUUAAGGCCUUUCGGGGGGGGCCGCGGGCCAGGUCCCUAGGGCUUGGCCCGCGGCCCCUCCUUAAGGCAUCACUUGGGGCUGCAGUGGGCAAAGGCCUGGAGGUCGCCGCUGUCUGCUCUCGGGGUCAUCUUGCCGAGCUGCGGUGUGGUGCUGCCCUGCUCGCAAACGGGUCAAGCACUGACAGUCUUUUCACACCCCCAAGCCCGAGCUACGGUGUGGUGCUGCCUAGCUCUGUGGGCGGUCAAGCACUGGUGGUCACUUGAGGGGGCUUGUGCCCUCUCAAGGCCAUCCCAUGGGGAAGCACGAGCACACGGGGUGCCGCCAAAGACAACCAGCAGAGAAGACAACACAAAAGCAGGUGUGAGCUGGCCUGCUAUUUAAUGGACAAAUAAAAUUGAUCUGCCUGGUGCCUUUCACCUCCAAGUUCCUGCUCCCCCUCUGCGCUGUUUCUCUUCUCUCCUGUCCUGUUCUUUCACAUCCAAGUUUCCCCGCCCGCUGCCCCCUUUCAUUUCUGCAGUGGUUCCCUUGCAACCACUGCGUGCUGAGGGCCUCCGGGCUGGCCACCCAGGAUGCUGAGUCCCUUGCUGAAAGGGAUUGGUGGCAGAUGUCGCUUGACUUGGCUCUCCAGGAGUCAAGUGUUGGAGACUGGCCUGGCCACCUGAGGCUGCAGCCCCAAAUCCUGCAAAGCAGGUCCCCUUUGGGGGUCUGCACGUCAUCCCCAGAAGGACAAACAGACAAGAUGGCAGAUGGGUCGGAGCGAGCUGACCGGGAAGGCGGAAAACGAGGCCAGCCUAACAGGAGGCACAGGCCUCGGGAGAACCAGAAGGAGAAGCAGCGGGGAAGAGGCGAGGUAGGAGAAAAGCCAGGCAGAGAAACAGGGUGAGAAGGAAAGGGACUCUGGACAGAGUGACCUCCCUGCCUUUAGGUCUCAAUCAUGUCUCAGCCAAAUUUUGGCUGCGUGAGCCUUUGGGCGAGCUCUCUGUAACUCAGAGAUGGAUCUCUGCCCUUGAAGCUGUUACACUUCUGUAGCAGUCAGGUGGAAGGUGGACAACCCUGUAAGCAAGGCGUGUGUCACCGCUACCUCGUUUGUAAAUCCAUGGAUCUGGCUGGUGGUCUUGUGCAGAGCAGCCGCCCUGUAAUCGUUGUGCAGGCCAGCUGCCAAACAUGACUGCCAAUGCUGCAGCCUCCUAUAAGCGGGGUGAGUGCUGCCUCCUAACAUGCGAGGACAGGCGAUAUGAACGUGUGUAGCGCUGGACAUCCCGUAAUUGGGAGUCCAAGUCCAUUGCUAUUGCUAGCCAGCUGGGAGAGGUGCCCCUGUAAGCAGGGUGGGCAUAGCCACCUACCGCUGGCUGGAGAGAGACGGAGCAGCCUGCCGCAUUGUGCAGCAGGACAGCCUUGCAGACAGGAGCCGGGUCUCGUUGGUGACAGCAAACUUUUUAGACCCCGUAGCCUGAUGACCUUCCCGUGGCUGGGUUGAAGCCUGUGGCCUCCUCACCUUUCCCUGUGUCCAGGCAUCUGUCCCUUGUCCUGCAUCAGUGCCUGGUACUCCAUGUCCGGACCCCUGGACUGCCCUGUAACGAGGGUGUGAGUCCCGCGUCUCUUGGUGGAGGACUAGGUUAUGCAAAGCAGUGAACCACCCUGUAAGCAGGGUCUGGGCAUCCACGUGCCUUUGGUGAGAGAUCUUUCCUUUGGCUAGCCUGAGGGCCCGCCCUGUAAGCAGGGCUCUGGGCAUGUCCCUUUUGAACCUUGUGGGCAGUCUGGCUGGUCAGACGGGCCGUGCCCUGUAAGGAGGGUGCGAGUCCCGUGUCUCUUGGUGGAGGGCUAGGUUCUGCAGAGCUGUGGACCACCCUGUAAGCAGGGUCCAGGUCUCAAUGUGCCUUUUGGGGACAGCUCUGUCCUUCGGCUGGCUGAGGGCCCUCCCUGUAAGGAAGCCCUCGCCUAUGUGCAAUCUGGCUGGCCAGGCAGGCCGUACCCUGAAAGGAGGGUGCCGGUCUUAGCCGUCUUGCCUCCUGGGAGCGGAGGAGGAUUUUGCAGGGUAAGGCUCGAGGACAAGCAGUUUGCAGCACGGAGCUGCUUUCCGGCCUGGGAACACUCUUCUUUGUCAGUGUGUGGCGAGCGAGAGAGAGGAGCGCCUGGGAAUGAAAGCGUUUGUUAUUUUCUUUUUGUUGUUAAAAUCGCUGCAGCGUACUUUAUUUUCUUCCCAGUGCUGGAAAGGGGCGAGAUGUGUCCACAUAGCCUUAUUCUUCCACCUCUGUACCUAGGGGGUUAAGCACCGGCAUAGAUUUCUGUGACUUCUGGCUUCGGGGAGCAUUAGGCCACCCCCCCCAGUGACCUCCCUGUCUCUCAGGGUACGGGUCUUGGGCCCCUCUUGGGUGGCCAGCACGGUCCUUUGCCCACUUGGUAGCUCACACGAAGACUUCCUGCCAUCCGUCCUGGGGGCAGGCUCUGUAUCCCAUACCCGAGUCCCUGGAGACAAGUGCCCUGGCACUUGGCCAGCCGUUCCCCUGCGCCCCUGGCCCCGGCCUGCAGCCUGUAAGCAGGGUCCAGGUCCCCUUGAUUUUCUGGGUCUUGUUCCAGUGGGUGAGGUUGGCCAGAGACGAUACCCACGGGCUACAGGGAAGGUUGCAGUGCGCUGGCACCCCGAGGCAUCGUGACCUCCCUGUAACUCAGGUCCAGGUCUCUGCUCCUCUGUUCUGCUGCUCCUGGCACUGUUGAGAGGGCCUCUCCCCGCACCCUGUAAACAGGGCUGCGCCCCCCACCCUCUCUGACCCUGGGGGAGGAGGAGGCUUUGUUUAGUCCUUUGGGCUCUGUGGCUUCAGUGACACGAGGCUGAAGUUGUGGCCCUUAUGUCCUCCAGGAAUGGGGCAAUUUUGACCCCUGGUCAAGACCGCCUGAGGUACCUGUCAGCUGGCAUUUAGGUCUUUUCAGGUUUUCUCUGGGCUUCAUGCCCCAGCAGCCAGCUGUGUGCCGGGAGCGCCGCCCUGUAAGCAGGGUUUCUGGUGUUGGCGGUCACCGCUCGUGGUGCCGCCCUAGCAGUUCUGUCCAGAGCCCUGGCCCAUCGCACGCAGCUUCUCGCUGGCCCGGAUGUCUGCCUCCCCCAUCUCCGCGGACAGAGGACAGCGGCCGCAGGUCCAGGCUCAAGCAGAGAAAAUGGCAGACCAGCAGGAAUCCACUUACAAGGAGGGAAGAAAACCAUGCCAGCCCAGCAAAGGUGUCGGAAGGACAAGCCGCAGGCAAGCCGUGACGGGCAAAAAGCCAGCAAAACGGGGUGCGAAGGGAAGGGACUCUGGACAGAAUGAUCUCCCUGUCUUCAGGUCUCAGUCAUGUAUUAGCCACUUUUUGCAUGUGUGAGCCUUUGGGCGAGCUCUCUGUAACUCAGAAAUGGGUCUCAGCCCUUGAAGCCGUUGCACUUCUGCAGCAGUCGGGUGGAAGGUGGACAACCCUGUAAGCAAGGCGUGUGUCACCGCCGCCUCUUCUAAAGGCCGUGGAUCUGGUUGGUGGUCUUGCGCAUCGCAGCCGCCCUGUAAUCAGGGUCCAGGCCAGCUGGCUGCCAAUGGUGCAGCCUCCUGUACGGGGGGUGCGUGCUGCCUCCUAACACGUGAGAACAACAGGCAAUUUGACCAUGUGUAGCGCUGGACAUCCCGUAAUUGGGAGUCCAAGUCCCCUGCCAUAGCCAGCCAGCCGGAGAGGUGCCCCUGUAAGCAGGGUGGGCAUAGCCGCCUUCCGCUGGGCUGAGAGACACGGCGCAGUCUGCCGCGUUGUGCAGCAGGAGGGCCUUGCAGACAGGAGCCGGGUCUCGUGGAGUGACAGCAAACUCUUCACAUCCCAGAGCCUGAUGACCUUCCCGUGGCUGGGUUGAAAUCUGUGGUCUCCUCACCGUUCUCUGAGUCCAGGCAUCUGUCCUUCAUCCUGCAUCUGUGCCUGGUACUCCACAUCCAGACCCCUGGGCCACCCUGUAACGAGGGGGCGAGUCCCAGGCAUCCUGUAGGACGGCCAGGGUCUGCAGAGCUGUGGACCACCCUGUAAGGAGGGUCCAGGUCUCAGUGUGCUUUUGGGGACAGCUCUGUCCUUUGGCUGGCUGUUGGCCCGCCCUGUAGGCAGGGCUCUGGGCACGUCCCUUUUGAACCUUGUGGGCAGUCUGGCUGGUCAGACGGGCCGGGCCCUGUAAGGAGGGUGCGAGUCCCGUGUCUCUUGGUGGAGGGCUAGGUUCUGCAGAGCUGUGGACCACCCUGUAAGCAGGGUCCAGGUCUCCAUGUGCCUUUUGGGGACAGCUCUGUCCUUUGGCUGGCUGUUGGCCCGCUCUGUAAGCAGGGCUCUGGGCAUGUCCCUUUUGAACCUUGUGGGGCAGUCUGGCUGGUCAGACAGGCCGGGCCCUGUAACGAGGGUGCAAGUCCCGUGUCUCUUGGUGGAGGGCUAGAUUCCGCAGAGCUGUGGACCACCCUGUAAGCAGGGUCCAGGUCUCCACGUGCCUUUUGGGGACAGCUCUGUCCUUCGGCUGGCUGAGGGCCCUCCCUGUAAGGAAGGCCUCGCUUAUGGGCGAUCUGGCUGGCCAGGCGGGCCGUACCCUGUAAGGAGGGUGCCGGUCUUAGCCGUAUUGCCUCCUGGGAGUGGAGGAGGAUUUUGCAGGGUAAGGCUCGAGGACAAGCAGUUUGCAGCACGGAGCUGCUUUCCGGCCUGGGAACACUCUUCCUUGUCAGAGUGUGGCGAGCGAGAGAGAGGAGCGCCUGGGAAUGAAAGCGUUUGUUAUUUUCUUUUUGUUGUUAAAAUCGCUGCAGCGUACUUUAUUUUCUUCCCAGUGCUGGAAAGGGGCGAGAUGUGUCCACAUAGCCUUAUUCUUCCACCUCUGUACCUAGGGGGUUAAGCACCGGCAUAGAUUUCUGUGACUUCUGGCUUCGGGGAGCAUUAGGCCACCCCCCCAGUGACCUCCCUGUCUCUCAGGGUACGGGUCUUGGGCCCUUCUUGGGUGGCCAGCACGGUCCUUUGCCCACUUGGUAGCUCACACGAAGACUUCCUGCCAUCCGUCCUGGGGGCAGGCUCUGUAUCCCAUACCCGAGUCCCUGGAGACAAGUGCCCUGGCACUUGGCCAGCCGUUCUCCUGCGCCCCUGGCCCCGGCCUGCAGCCUGUAAGCAGGGUCCAGGUCCCCUUGAUUUUCUGGGUCUUGUUCCAGUGGGUGAGGUUGGCCAGAGACGAUACCCGCGGGCUACAGGGAAGGUUGCAGUGCGCUGGCACCCCGAGGCAUCGUGACCUCCCUGUAACUCAGGUCCAGGUCUCUGCUCCUCUGUUCUGCUGCUCCUGGCACUGUUGAGAGGGCCUCUCCCCGCACCCUGUAAACAGGGCUGCGCCCCCCACCCGCUCUGACCCUGGGGGAGGAGGAGGCUUUGUUUAGUCCUUUGGGCUCUGUGGCUUCAGUGACACGAGGCUGAAGUUGUGGCCCUUAUGUCCUCCAGGAAUGGGGCAAUUUUGACCCCUGGUCAAGACCGCCUGAGGUACCUGUCAGCUGGCAUUUAGGUCUUUUCAGGUUUUCUCUGGGCUUCAUGACCCAGCAGCCAGCUGUGUGCCGGGAGCGCCGCCCUGUAAGCAGGGUUUCUGGUGUUGGCGGUCACCGUUCCUGGUGCCGCCCUAGCAGUUCUGUCCAGAGCCCUGGCCUUCGCACGCAGCUUCUGGCUGGCCCGGAUGUCUGCCUCCCCCAUCUCCGCGGACAGAGGACAGCGGCCGCAGGUCCAGGACCCCGAAGGGCAGCUGGAGAAGAAGGAACGGAACCAGCAGAAGCAAGCUCGGGAACAAGAAGUGUGGGUCGGGGUGGGCAGGAGGAAGGGGAAUGUUUAAUGUCUGCUCAGAGAAGGACAGAUGGAGGCUGUUGAGUGCAUCUACACUUUCACACACCCAGGAGGAGCAAGCAGCCACACGCUUCAAGUUGCACCGUGCAUUCAGUCUUGGGUUGGCCCCGAUUGUGUGCAGGGAGGUUGAGGCUUUGUGCUAGUCGUGCAUAUCGAUAUGCAGCAGUCAAGGGUUUUGCAGGUUGUGUGCAAGGAGGCUGAGGUGUUGUGCUAGUUGUGUGUAUUGAUAUGCAGCUGUCACGGGUGUCGCAGGCGGUUUGGCUUUGCCAGUGAAGCGGUGGAUCAGAAUAGGUGUGACUGAAGGCAGCGUGUAGGGCGUUCUUGGUUGGGUUGUUGAGCGGUUCUCGGUGUUAGUGUAGGAACACAGGUUUGUGCUCGGUUCUGUUUGUGGCUUGGCUGUAGCUUGCUUAGGCUGUAGCUUGCAGGGCCAAUUUGAGGCUGUUUAUGGUGCAAUUUGUUUGCGUCUGUAAAUUAAGGCUCUGUGGGUGUUUGAAAGUGUUAUUCUCCAGCUCCACGGGGACGAAGAUUUUGUCCUCUGUCCAAAUGAUCCUCAAGGUAGUUGGCAUGGUCCAUGUCAAACCAGUAGGAAGCAGGUGGGCCUAAGAUGUGCACAGUCAACAAUAAAUGGUCUAAAAACUGUCUACCUUGUGGCUGGUGCUCUUCUACGCGGAGAAGAUUUGGUCCUUUUCCUUUCCUACUGAGAUCUGGCUGAAGGAAUAAACUUUUUCAUUCUGUCUGCCGA